GCACGUUGGCAGAAGCACAAGAUCGAUCUGGAAUCGGAUUUUGCACUUUUUCUCUCUUUUUCUCGCCCUUUCUCUUCCCUUUGCCCCUUUGCAAUAAAAAUCAAAGAAGAAAACGCUGCAAACACAGACCACAGCCUUUUUGUUCUCCGCACUUUCCCUUCAGUCAAACAGACCACCGAAACUCGCCGAAUAGCAUCCCGGAUUUCUCUCCAUCUCCAGCUCAAUUCGUUUACCGUUUCUGUGUGUGGGAGUUGUCUGAGUGAAUUAUGGGGGAGGAAGUAAAGAUGAGCGAGGUUGAAAUUGGCGGAGAAGAUAACGCUGAUGAGGAGAGAGUUAUGGAAUGGGAGGUCGGAUUACCCAGCGUUGAUGAUGUCACACCGCUUUUUCAAGCGUUGAUCUCGCCAGAGCUUGCUUCCGCGUUCAGUAUAUCGCCGGAGCCAUACAAGACUCUCCUAGAUGUCAACCGAGCCUCGCAGAAUACCAUGUCCACGAUUCGAGGCAGCGGGGAAUCUCAUGCUAUGUCGUCGAAAAAUAACUUCAAGUCAUUUGCGGAAGAGCGGAGCCGCGACCCGAUGGUGGUGGAGGCGGACGAUGAGAUUACCGACAGGGACGGGUCCGGAUCUGAUUCACGGAAAUUGAGGAAGGUUGAGUGCGCGGAAGAGGCCGACUCGGCGUUGAGGACCGAGAAUCCUAUGGACGAUCCAGCGGCCAGGACGCUGAAACGGCCACGUCUCGUUUGGACUCCGCAGCUGCACAAGAGGUUCGUUGAAGUUGUGGCGCACUUGGGUAUCCAGAACGCAGUGCCCAAGACAAUUAUGCAGCUGAUGAACGUGGAGGGCCUGACGCGGGAGAACGUCGCCAGCCAUCUGCAAAAGUACCGGUUGUACCUGAAGCGGAUGCAGGGAAUAUCUGGCGAUGGACCGUCCUCGUCUGACCAACUCUUCCCCUCCACGCCGGUGCCGCAGAACCUGCAAGAAGGCGGUAAUGCUGGUAGUGGUGUCCAUGGGAAUGAACACGUCGGAAUGCCAAUUCCCAUGCCUUAUCCGGCACAAGGGGGGAUGAUAUCGAUGCCGAUGCCCAUGGCGGUCUACGGACACAUGGGGAUGCAGGUCGGAAAUCAGGGUGACGGGUACAGUAAUGGAUUCGACAGGAAUAAUCCAUACAGUAUGAUGCAUCAACAGAGGGAUUGGUCCAGCAAGAAUUUUACCAAUUCUAAUCACCAUAAUCAUGUGGCUUCUAAUGAUAACAACCGAUGAUUAUCAGGAUUUUGUUGCAUACAGAGGGUGGGGUAUAUAGAGGGUUGUUGCUUUGAUUGCUGGAAGUGGCUUGUCGAGAAGCUGGUUUCCUCAAAAGAUAUAUGUUGAGCAGGGACCAGAUCUAGAAGUUCAGCAACUUUUAACUCGCAGGGUACUUGUGGACUUCGAAAGUGGAUGGAGAUAUAGAGGUGUAGUUAGAAAGAACAUGAAACACUGCAGGAGUGCAGUUGAAACAUAACAUAAUCAGGCAUCAUUGCCUGACCUUCUCUUCAUAGAUAUAUUCUUCUGGUUACCUGAUGGGAGCACAACGUUCCUUGCAGUCUAUUACUUGUGGACUGGUUUACCCAAAUGGCAGCAAGUCAUCAAGUAUAUUAGUUACUUGUUCUUCAUUGAUAAAUCUGGUGAACUUUUGUAUUGUUGACGAUGUUAUACCCUCUCUUUGGCAACAAAGCGAAAGACAACAAAAAACUAGAAAAAAAUCAGUCAGCUUUCAUACCAUGAUGGUAAUGGAUUGAUUUCUAACUCUUUCACAUUCAUCUGUUUUGGAAAUGGUUAUUGUCAUUGUCUUC